rnacentral:rRNA from 1 species
GAUGAACGCUAGCUACAGGCUUAACACAUGCAAGUCGAGGGGCAUCAGGAAGAAAGCUUGCUUUCUUUGCUGGCGACCGGCGCACGGGUGAGUAACACGUAUCCAACCUACCCUUUACUCGGGGAUAGCCUUUCGAAAGAAAGAUUAAUACCCGAUGGUAUAAUUAUUCCGCAUGGUUUGAUUAUUAAAGGAUUCCGGUAAAGGAUGGGGAUGCGUUCCAUUAGGUUGUUGGUGAGGUAACGGCUCACCAAGCCUUCGAUGGAUAGGGGUUCUGAGAGGAAGGUCCCCCACAUCGGAACUGAGACACGGUCCAAACUCCUACGGGAGGCAGCAGUGAGGAAUAUUGGUCAAUGGGCGCGAGCCUGAACCAGCCAAGUAGCGUGAAGGAUGACUGCCCUAUGGGUUGUAAACUUCUUUUAUAUUAGAAUAAAGUGCAGUAUGUAUACUGUUUUGUAUGUAUAAUAUGAAUAAGGAUCGGCUAACUCCGUGCCAGCAGCCGCGGUAAUACGGAGGAUCCGAGCGUUAUCCGGAUUUAUUGGGUUUAAAGGGAGCGUAGGUGGACUGGUAAGUCAGUUGUGAAAGUUUGCGGCUCAACCGUAAAAUUGCAGUUGAUACUGUCAGUCUUGAG